rnacentral:lncRNA from 1 species
GGAGGAAAAGGUUUCAAAAGUUGUUACUAAAUGUCAAAGUCCUUCUUCAACUUUGGACUACAAUAACAGUCUUGGAGUUUUCAAUGGAAUCUCCUAUCCAACAGACAUAGUUCUAAAAGAUAAAUUUACAGACAACAUAGAACCUGUUUUACCGAAAUUCAUCUAUUCAGAACCAACAAAAGAAGGAUUCUUGUUUAAAAACAAAGCUUAUGAUGAAUCAGUAAACAACCAUUGACCGUUUUUAAACAUGACAACAAGUCCGAGAAAGCCUCUACUUCCGAGGAUAUUAAAAACAGUACAGUUGGGAACAUUCUUUUUCCUCGUGUGAACAACAUAAGCAAAGAACGUAACCGGCUUUCAUAUUACGGCAAUCCUCAUUUGGGAAAUCUUACACUAGUCUCUGCAGAUAAGAGUUCGAGUUCCAUUUGCCUAUCCAAACAAUCUUCAAGCAUUGACUACCCACCGUCGCUCAAACCAAGCCCAAAAAACCGCUGCAGCAAAUAAGCCGCUUUCUCAUCCCACUUUCGCUGAGAUGAUAACUGAAGCAAUCACAAACCUGAAAGAAAGAACCGGUUCAAGUCAAUAUGCUGAAACAAAAUUCAUCAAAGAGAAACACGAGGACUCACCUCCAACUUACCGUAAGCUUGUCAAGUUUACCUAUCAGAAGGUAUUGUUUCACUAUGGAGAGAUAACACUGCAAACAUCAUCCGUUACUUCCCCGCUCAGGCUUUGAAUUUUGCAUUCGAGGACUACUUCAAGAGGCUUUUCGAUUUCAAUAAGGACAAAGAUGGUUACUGGAAGUGGUUGGCUGGUGACUUGGCCUCAGGAGCACGAAUCUAAACCGUAGCCACCAAUAUUCAUCGCUGAAGCAUCAACCGCCUGCAUUACCGUCCAAGUCAAACAAUCUGCACAUAAAGGGAGAAAAAGCAAAAGACGACUUCACUUUCAAGAAUCUGCAACUUUCAAGAAGAGGAUAACAUAAUUCGAUCUCCAAUUUCUCAACCGACGGAACCGGAAGCUCCAUACCAGCAUAACCUGCACGAAAGAGGAAACUCAGAGGGUCAUCAAAAGACUCAAUGUUUAAUCCAAAAGUUUCAAAUUCAGUUCCAGAAUGUUUUGAUACUAACCUUGUACUGUUCAUUAGCCGGCGCCGGUGUUAAUCUCCAAU